rnacentral:rRNA from 1 species
AGAGUUUGAUCAUGGCUCAGAAUCAACGCUGGCGGCGUGCCUAACACAUGCAAGUCGUGCGCGAAAGGGGCUUCGGUCCUGAGUAGAGCGGCAAACGGGUGAGUAACGCGUGGGUGACCUACCCUCGAGUGGGGGAUAACAGCCCGAAAGGAUUGCUAAUACCGCAUGACAUCCUGUCCUUGGACGGAUGGAGAUCAAAGCCGGGGAUCGUAAGACCUGGCGCUUGAGGAGGGGCCCGCGUUCGAUUAGCUAGUUGGUGGGGUAACGGCUCACCAAGGCGACGAUCGAUAGCCGGCCUGAGAGGGCGGACGGCCACACUGGGACUGAGACACGGCCCAGACUCCUACGGGAGGCAGCAGUGGGGAAUUGUUCGCAAUGGGCGCAAGCCUGACGACGCAACGCCGCGUGGAGGAUGAAGAUCUUCGGGUCGUAAACUCCUGUCGACCGGGACGAAAUUUCCGGGAGCUAACAUCUCCUGGAAUUGACGGUACCGGUGGAGGAAGCCCCGGCUAACUCCGUGCCAGCAGCCGCGGUAAUACGGGGGGGGCAAGCGUUGUUCGGAAUUACUGGGCGUAAAGGGCUCGUAGGCGGCCGCACAAGUCCGACGUGAAAUCCCUCGGCUCAACCGAGGAACUGCGUCGGAAACUAGGUGGCUUGAAUCCAAGAGA